UUAACCGACUGCGCCACUCAGGCGCCCCAAGCAAUCUGUGUCUUGAUAAGACCUCCAGGCAAUCGUAUGGACUGACUCAAUUGUCCCCGCCUCA